AUAUAUGACAGCGACGAAAUCAGUAGCGAUCGCUAGGAGCAAAGUAUAGCCACGUCAUGGGUAUAAAAAGUACAUAUUUAGUGCGUACUUUUAACGAAAUCUUGAGCCGAAGAAAAAAGAAGGACAUCAGGCCAUUUCGAGAUAAUCUGUUUAUUUCGGCGUUUCUGACUGAAGAGAAAUCCGUGGCGCAAUGACCAAAUAUCUGCACGAAGCGCACCCCAAAGAGCUGAAUCAUUUUAAGUCGGUUAGCAGCUGUUCGGAUGCUCUGGCCGAGGCUCUGGUCCUUUUGUUUGGAAAUCCGAUAAAGGAUCUAAUGUGUUCUAACUCUGAUCAAUUUUAACACAGAUAACUAAUAAAUAAUGAAAUAAACAUGCUGAAACUGUA